ACGGACAGAGAGAAAGGGAGACACAGAAUCCCAAGCAGGUUCCGCACUGUCAGUCAGAGCCUGACGUGGGGCUCGAUCUCAGGAACCGUGAGAUCACGAACUGACCCAAAAUCAAGAGUCGACACUGAACCGACUGAGCCGCCCAGACGCCCGGUCCCUUGGAAGCAUUUGAACGACCAAUCACAUCUUUGAGUUGGCCAAACGUCUCAGCUUCUGGGAAGGUGUCUGAAACUCUGUCCAUGGACUCCUGCAAAUCAUCUCUGCCACCUCCUUGAUGAGCUCUGCUCUGAAUCGGCGUUCAGGACCCCCAGAGCGGGACCCCCAAAGGCUGGGGGACCAAGUAGGUGUGGCAGGUGCCGACGAGGGAUGAUGUCAUCAGAUGACGUCCAGCGGUGGCCCGGAGAAGUGGCCCAGGUGCGUUCCUUGAGGAAGGGACAGAGUUUCAGCUUCAGCAAACGGAACAGAAGUGACCUGGGGCGUGGAUAGAAGCCGAGAGUCAUCUAUCUGUGUGUGUUUGUCCAGCUGCUUCUCCGCCGUGAGGGCGUGACAGCAGGACCUGUCCGUGGGAAUGCCAGCAGCAUUCAUCACAGACCAGGAGAUCAUUCAAGACCUCGAAUCGCCUCACAGGGUGUUGCGGGUGAACUGCGGGAGCCAAGCCUUCCGAGACUUUCGUCCUGAUUACGACUGUUUGAAGGUAUUUAUCAGACACAGACAAGGACAAAGUGGGUGUUACUCUCCAGGCGAGACGCUCGUGGCAUCUCCAACUGCAUGAUUGUUUUGAAGGCAGAAGCAGGAUUCAGAGGUUUCCUUGGUGAUGUGUCCAAAGUCUGUGCUUGCAACCAGGAUAUCCUGGUGGUGAGCCUGCCUCAGUUUACCUUCCUGACCCCCCUGCAUGAAUUUCACAGCCUGCAAGCUCCUGCACCAACCUUCCUUUCUUGGGGAACUGGUUUCUGCUUGGUGCCAUCUAAAGACUUCCCAGCGCCUCCUUUCCUAGGUCUGAAAUGAAGGAGACAGGCUUCCUCAGCCUCUCUGCUGUGUUGGGAGACAGCCCAUCCUGGGUGUGAGCCGUGGCCUCCUGGACCGUGUUUAGGUCCUGACUUUCUGGAGGUUUCCAGACACGGGAGCCCGUCGGAUUGGGGAGAGAGCCCUGAGGAAUUCGAAUCACUUCUCUCCGGGGCCGAGGGACCUGCUCUCCGGAAGAACAGCACGUCCCUGUGUGUGGUUCAAGAGGCCGGGCUCAGGGGACAGCCCACAACAUCUCCAUGGGGAAGGAGAAAACAAAAACGGAGGAAGCCAGGGCGGGAGAGCUGAGCCAGAGGGGGGCCCAGCGGGGACACAUCUGGGGCGUGACUUGGGUCACUUUGCUGCCUGACCUGUGCGUGGAGCUCACAAGCCCAGCCUGCACCGCCCGCCCGUGUGGCUCCGAGCCCCUAGAGGAGGAAGCUGGUC